CCUACGGGAUGCAGCAGUGGGGAAUAUUGCACAAUGGGCGCAAGCCUGAUGCAGCCAUGCCGCGUGUAUGAAGAAGGCCUUCGGGUUGUAAAGUACUUUCAGCGAGGAGGAAGGCAUUAAGGUUAAUAACCUUGGUGAUUGAGGUUACUCGCAGAAGAAGCACCGGCUAACUCCGUGCCAGCAGCCGCGGUAAUACGGAGGGUGCAAGCGUUAAUCGGAAUUACUGUGCGUAAAGCGCACGCAGGCGGUCUGUCAAGUCGGAUGUGAAAUCCCCGGGCUCAACCUGGGAACUGCAUUCGAAACUGGCAGGCUAGAGUCUUGUAGAGGGGGGUAGAAUUCCAGGUGUAGCGGUGAAAUGCGUAGAGAUCUGGAGGAAUACCGGUGGCGAAGGCGGCCCCCUGGACAAAGACUGACGCUCAGGUGCGAAAGCGUGGGGAGCAAACAGGAUUAGAUACCCUAGUAGUC
rnacentral:rRNA from 1 species